AUCGCUUCUCGGCCUUUUGGCUAAGAUCAAGUGUAGUAUCUGUUCUUAUCAGUUUAAACAUACCAGAGGAUGGUGUUAACAGCACUUCCCCAGAAAGCCUAUGGUCUAACCCAAAGGUUAGUUCACAUCCCACAACUCUCUGAUAUUAUCAAAAGAUGGUUGUUGACUGUACAAGUAGCUCUACACAGUAAUCACUUCCU